rnacentral:misc_RNA from 1 species
UCCGGCUUAUCACCGGCGGUUUCUUUAGAGUGCCCAACUAAAUGAUGGCAACUAAAGACGAGGGUUGCGCUCGUUGCGGGACUUAACCUGACACCUCACGGCACGAGCUGACGACAACCAUGCAGCACCUUGUAAAUUGUCCGAAGAAAAAACUGUUUCCUAGGGUAGCGUGGCAUGUCAAGUCCAGGUAAGGUUUUUCGCGUAGCAUCGAAUUAAACCACAUGCUCCACCGCUUGUGCGGGCCCCCGUCAAUUCCUUUGAGUUUUAAUCUUGCGACCGUAAUCCCCAGGCGGGAUACUUAAUGCGUUAGCUGCGUUACCGAGUCUAUUAGGGAACCCGACAACUAGUAUCCAUCGUUUAGGGCGUGGACUAC